rnacentral:rRNA from 1 species
UACGUAGGUGGCAAGCGUUGUCCGGAUUUAUUGGGUUUAAAGGGUGCGUAGGCGGUCCCAUAAGUCAGUGCUGAAAUAUCCCGGCUUAACCGGGAGGGUGGCAUUGAUACUGCGGGACUUGAGUGGAGUUGAAGUGGGCGGAAUUGACGGUGUAGCGGUGAAAUGCGUAGAUAUCGUAAGGAAGACCAGUGGCGAAGGCGGGUCUCUGGACAGUUCCUGACGCUGAGGCACGAAGGUCAGGGGAGCAAACGGG